rfam:Limnoraphis robusta CS-951 contig301, whole genome shotgun sequence.
GGAAGAUACUGCUGAAGGGACAGCAACCCGUCUUGAAAACGGGAGCAAGGUAACACUUGGGGGUUCGAUUCCUCUAUCUUCCU